UGGGGAAUUUUGGACAAUGGGCGAAAGCCUGAUCCAGCAAUGCCGCGUGUGUGAAGAAGGCCUUCGGGUUGUAAAGCACUUUUGUCCGGAAAGAAAUCCUUGGCUCUAAUACAGUCGGGGGAUGACGGUACCGGAAGAAUAAGCACCGGCUAACUACGUGCCAGCAGCCGCGGUAAUACGUAGGGUGCAAGCGUUAAUCGGAAUUACUGGGCGUAAAGCGUGCGCAGGCGGUUUGCUAAGACCGAUGUGAAAUCCCCGGGCUCAACCUGGGAACUGCAUUGGUGACUGGCAGGCUAGAGUAUGGCAGAGGGGGGUAGAAUUCCACGUGUAGCAGUGAAAUGCGUAGAGAUGUGGAGGAAUACCGAUGGCGAAGGCAGCCCCCUGGGCCAAUACUGACGCUCAUGCACGAAAGCGUGGGGAGCAAACAGGAUUAGAUACCCUGGUAGUCCAGCGCCCUAAACGAUGUCAACUAGUUGUUGGGGAUUCAUUUCCUUAGUAACGUAGCUAACGCGUGAAGUUGACCGCCUGGGGGAGUACGGUCGCAAGAUUAAAACUCAAAGGAAUUGACGGGGUCAUAGCUGUUUCCU
rnacentral:rRNA from 1 species